UUCCCUGUAGCGCAAUGGAUAACGUGUUGGAAUUCUAAUCUAACUUCGUGGGUUUGAAUCCCACCUGGGAUG